AGGCCAAGAAGAGCAGCAGCAAGAAGGUCGCCGCAGCGGCCAGGGAAGAGGAGGAUGGCGAUGAGUAGGAUUUUGCUUGGUUUUUUUAGUUCAGUUUGAGUUCAGCUAAUUAAUUUGCAGCUUAAUGUUCUGCUGUUGUGGCAGUAAAUUUUAGAGUCUGCUUGGUUAAUUAAAAGUGCUGUGAUAAUCUCUUGUGUAUUAUUGAUAAAAUAAUAUUAUGUGUAUAUAUGUGUGUCUGGGUUUAUAUAUUGGUGCUACUUU
rnacentral:lncRNA from 1 species